rnacentral:rRNA from 1 species
UACGGAGGAUGCGAGCGUUAUCCGGAUUUAUUGGGUUUAAAGGGUGCGUAGGCGGGCUUUUAAGUCAGCGGUAAAAAUUCGGGGCUCAACCCCGUCCGGCCGUUGAAACUGGGGGCCUUGAGUGGGCGAGAAGAAGGCGGAAUGCGUGGUGUAGCGGUGAAAUGCAUAGAUAUCACGCAGAACCCCGAUUGCGAAGGCAGCCUUCCGGCGCCCUACUGACGCUGAGGUGCGAAAGCGUGGGUAGCAAACAGG